rfam:Dipodomys ordii contig_42420, whole genome shotgun sequence.
GGGAAUGUGGCUUAGUGGUAGAGCGCUUGUCUAGCAUGCAUGAAGCCCCAAGGUUCAAUUCCUCAGUACCA